CGAGAAGCUGAUAAAAGACGAUGGUUCAAAAAGGGUGGAUGAAUCAUUGUACAAAAGUAUCGUUGAAAGCCUCUUGUAUCUCACUACUACAAGGCCUGAUAUUAUGUUUGCUGCAAGUUUACUCUCGAGAUUCAUGAAUUGUCCAAAGCAAACUCACUUAGGAGUUGCAAAAAGGGUGUUACGAUACAUCCAAGGAUCAUUGGAUUAUGGAAUCAUGUAUACUUCUAUUCCAAACUCAAAAUUGGUAGGAUAUACAGAUAGUGAUUGGGCAGGAUCCAUAGAUGAUAUGAAAAGCACAUCGGCAUACACUUUCCCUCUUGGAUCUGGGAUAAUUUCUUGGGCGUCAAAAAAACAAAGUACCGUUGCUCAAUCUACAGCAGAAGCAAAGUAUGUGGCGGCAUCUCUUGCAGUUUCUCAAGCAAUAUGGUUACGAAGAAUUCUUGAAGAUAUUGGCGAAAAGCAAAAUGAAGGAACUACUAUAUAUUGCGACAACAUGUCAACAAUUUCAAUUGCAAAAAAUCCAGUAUCUGACAACAAGACGAAGCAUAUUGCUAUCAAGCAUUACUUCAUUCGCGAAGUUAUUGAGAGUGGCGAGAUCAAGUUGACGUAUUGCAAGACGAAUGAACAAAUGGCUGACAUAUUCACCAAGAUACUCCCUAAAGAAAGUUUUUGUCAUCUUCGAGAGAUGUUGGGAGUAAUUCAAAAAGUGCAUUAAGGGGGAGUGUUGAAUUACUGCACUUUUGUGAAAAGUCCCUUAGUUGAAAAGGUUCAUGUCUCUUUG